GAUGAACGCUAGCGGCAGGCCUAACACAUGCAAGUCGAGGGAGGAGCCUUCGGGCUUCGACCGGCGUACGGGUGCGUAACGCGUAUACAAUCUGCCUUUCACAUAGGGAUAGCCCGAAGAAAUUUGGAUUAAUACCUAAUGGUAUAUAGAUGUGGCAUCACCUUUAUAUUAAAGCUGAGGCGGUGAAAGAUGAGUAUGCGUUCUAUUAGCUAGUUGGAGAGGUAACGGCUCCCCAAGGCGACGAUGGAUAGGGGUUCUGAGAGGGAUAUCCCCCACACUGGUACUGAGAUACGGACCAGACUCCUACGGGAGGCAGCAGUGAGGAAUAUUGGACAAUGGUCGGAAGACUGAUCCAGCCAUGCCGCGUGCAGGAAGACGGCCUUAUGGGUUGUAAACUGCUUUUGCAGGGGAAGAAUAAGGACUACGCGUAGUUUGAUGACGGUACUCUGCGAAUAAGCAUCGGCUAACUCCGUG
rnacentral:rRNA from 1 species